rnacentral:rRNA from 1 species
CGCCUGGGGAGUGCGGCCGCAAGGUUAAAACUCAAAUGAAUUGACGGGGGCCCGCACAAGCGGUGGAGCAUGUGGUUUAAUUCGAUGCAACGCGAAGAACCUUACCAGGCCUUGACAUCCUUGGAACUUUCUAGAGAUAGAUUGGUGCCUUCGGGAGCCAAGUGACAGGUGCUGCAUGGCCGUCGUCAGCUCGUGUCGUGAGAUGUUGGGUUAAGUCCCGUAACGAGCGCAACCCCUAUCCCUGGUUGCUAGCAGGUAAUGCUGAGAACUCCAGGGAGACUGCCGGUGACAAACCGGAGGAAGGUGGGGAUGACGUCAGGUCAUCAUGGCCCUUACGGCCAGGGCUACACACGUGCUACAAUGGCGCGUACAGAGGGCUGCCAACUCGCGAGAGUGAGCCAAUCCCUUAAAACGCGUCGUAGUCCGGAUCGGAGUCUGCAACUCGACUCCGUGAAGUCGGAAUCGCUAGUAAUCGCGAAUCAGAAUGUCGCGGUGAAUACGUUCCCGGGCCUUGUACACACCGCCCGUCACACCAUGGGAGUGGAUUGCACCAGAAGUAGUUAGUCUAACCUUCGGGAGGACGAUUACCACGGUGUGGUUCAUGACUGGGGUGAAGUCGUAACAAGGUAACCGUA